rnacentral:lncRNA from 1 species
GGUUUGGACCCCAGAUUACUGAAAUGUUUGGACAAAACAAAGGAAACAUCUAUCCUCCAGGCUUUUACCCUCAGCCUGGUGGACCUGCAGGAUGCCCUCCAUGCCCACCUGCCCCACAGCAGCCCUGCCCACCUGUCCCACCUAUGUGCUACCCUGUAGUGCCCCCCUGUGGGGGGUCUAAUUAUGAUUAUGGUUAUGGAGAUGGUUGUGGAGCUGGACAUGGUCAUGGACACGGACAUGGUCACGAGCACGGUCAUGGACAUGGUCAUGGACAUGAUCACGGGCAUGAGCAUGGGCAUGGGCACAGUCAUGGACAUGGUCAUGAACAUGAGCAUGGUCAUGGUCAUGGACAUGAUCACGGGCAUGGGCACAGUCAUGGACAUGGUCACGGGCACGGGCAUGGGCAUGGGCAUGGGCAUGGACAUGGUCAUGGGCAUGGGCAUGGACAUGGACAUGGGCAUGGACAUGGGCACAAGCACAAACAUGGUCACAUGCAUGGGCAAUGUCACAAGAAAGGAAAGAAGUGUCACGGGGACUCCAGCAGCUCCUGCAGCAGUGACUCUGACUAG